rnacentral:rRNA from 1 species
UGCCAGCCGCCGCGGUAAUACGGAGGGUGCAAGCGUUAUUCGGAAUUACUGGGCGUAAAGCGCAUGUAGGCGGAUAAUUAAGUCAGAUGUGAAGUUACGAGGCUCAACUUCGUGGUGCGUCUGAAACUGGUCAUCUAGAGUCCGAGAGAGGAAAGCGGAAUUCCUAGUGUAGAGGUGAAAUUCGUAGAUAUUAGGAAGAACAUCAGUGGCGAAGGCGGCUUUCUGGACCAAUACUGACGCUGAGAUGCGAAAGCGUGGGGAGCGAACAGGAUUAGAUA